GAUGAACGCUGGCGGCGUGCCUAAUACAUGCAAGUCGAGCGAACAGAUGAGGAGCUUGCUCCUCUGACGUUAGCGGCGGACGGGUGAGUAACACGUGGAUAACCUACCUAUAAGACUGGGAUAACUUCGGGAAACCGGAGCUAAUACCGGAUAAUAUAUUGAACCGCAUGGUUCAAUAGUGAAAGACGGUUUUGCUGUCACUUAUAGAUGGAUCUGCGCCGCAUUAGCUAGUUGGUAAGGUAACGGCUUACCAAGGCAACGAUGCGUAGCCGACCUGAGAGGGUGAUCGGCCACACUGGAGCUUGGACACGGUCCAGACUCCUACGGGAGGCAGCAGUAGGGAAUCUUCCGCAAUGGGCGAAAGCCUGACGGAGCAACGCCGCGUGAGUGAUGAAGGUCUUCGGAUCGUAAAACUCUGUUAUUAGGGAAGAACAAAUGUGUAAGUAACUAUGCACGUCUUGACGGUACCUAGUCAGAAAGCCACGGCUAACUACGUG
rnacentral:rRNA from 1 species